CGAUGAAAGCGACCGACUUCCAGCACGCCAGCAGUACCGCCCGGAUGGCCUCCGGGAUGACCUCGCGUGCCCGCCGACCGGAACCCCACAUAGUUGCUGGGUAAACCGGAGUGUUGUGCUGUCUG
rnacentral:sRNA from 1 species